rnacentral:piRNA from 1 species
UCUAAACUCGGGUUCAGAGUGAUGCCGC